AGGUCUGUGGUUUCGGCGUCUCUGUCUCUCCAAGUCAACUCCACGGUGUGUUACGGGUAAUAAUGACAGCCGGGCACUUUAGCCAAUUCCUGAUCUGAUGAGGUUGUCAGAACUACUUAAAAAUGGAAAAUGAAGAAACUUGACAACCGCAGCAACUCUUCUGGGGCUUCCCAGGGGAUCUGCUUGAGCUGCUGCUCGGCCGUGACCCAUUAGGACUCUCUGCCACACCCCGAGUCCAUGCUUGGACCCCAGGCCCGGCUCUGCUACCGGCCUCCUCCACCAUCCGGCUUGGCUCUGCUACCAGCCCUGCUUCAAUAAAAGCUAUCUAUUCAA